ensembl:lncRNA
CUGAGCUCUCCCUGUAUUCCUGGCUCCGAGAGGGGGCUGCACACGGCUGGUGCUCAGGAAGGCCUCUUAGUGUGGCCUGUGCACAAUGACCUUUGCAGAUGCAAAACCCUGCCCUGCGCACUGACACAUUCCCUUUACAGGCAAUAAGCACAUCAACGGAUUUGAAACCUUCGUAGAUUCAUGAAUAAAAGCAUACAAUCAUUGGCCAACGCAGGUCCCUGGGCUGACUCUUCCUGAAAGCGUCAUUUCUGGGACAUCCUAUGGUCUGCUUUACAAUCAGUCGGGCCACCCAGAAUCUGUUGUCCCAGCCCUGUCCAGAGCCCCAGAGACCCAGGGAUCCUGGCUGCUCCCUGAGCCAGUGGGCGAGGACCCUGCCAGCUCCGAGGUGAGAAGACCUGUGAUGACCCGAUGUGAGAAGACCUGUGAUGCUGCCUGGGCUCUCAAAAGGAAGAAGAGUUGGGGAGGAGGGGUGGGCAGGGGCUGGGGGAGGGGAGGUGGCAGCUCGAUCUGUCAUGGAAAUAGAGAGGGAGGGAUGCUUUCCUGCAGACAAGCUGUUCGCUUACCAGCUGACUUUGGUGAGAGAAAGAAAGAAAGAAAAAAUUCCCAGUGCCAUCUGCUCCCAGAGUGAGGCUGGUGUGGGGCCUGGGGCUCCCUGUGGCUUGGGCAGCCAGACCCAGUUUCAGAAUCUGAGACAGCUGCCCCCUGGGUUAUUUUGGGAAGCCGCUCAGUGCCGAGGCGCCCGGCCUUCGAGGCAUUUCCCGUCACUCCAGAGCUGUUUGCACACCAGCCCAAGACUGCCAGCUCCUUCCCCGGCCCUGGAUGGGUUCCAGUUCAGCCCACGGGAAUUGUCCUGCUUCCAGCUCCGGCUGCAACAACGCCAACCAGGGGACUUCUGCUUCGAGAAACAUAGACAGCAAGUGCCAGUCUCCCUGGAGAGAGCGACGCGGCAGCUCCCUGGGGACAGACAGGGAGCUGGUUUGACCUGCAAACCAGCCACGAGGAAAUCUCUGUGACUUCCGGGUGAAACUCACCACCGUGGCUGUGGGGUGCGCCUGGGCCUCUGCUCCUCUGGCAAGUAACUGAACGGAUUUUCCCGAGGGGCACAGGGCUAGUUCUGCAGCCACGUGGGUCUCCUGCCUCUGGAGGGUGAUCCUGGGCCCGUCACCCCCACGUGAGAGGCAGGUGGACAGCAGUAGCUGAGUGUGGCAGGCGGGUUUCUGCCGUCGGGUCAGCACUGACACCUGAGGGCCCUCCUACUCCAGGGUCAGCCCCUCAGCCCCCCUGAAGGUCAGCGAUGCCGGGCCCCUCGCAGCUGCCUGGCGGUGGCCCUGGAGACAAGCUCCUGAACCCCUCGCCUGCCUGCCCCACGGGGAGGGAUCCUGCACUGGAGCUCAGCUCAUAUCCGUGCAUAUUUAAGGGGGACCUUCCCAGGACAUCGGCAGGCUCCCCACAUCCCUCCCAGAGAUCCAUUUGUUAAAAUAAACCAGGCAAGAUCAGAGGUCGGCUCA